GACGAACCGUGCGAACGUUGUUCGGAAUCACUGGGCUUAAAGGGCGUGUAGGCGGUCAGGUAAGUGGGAUGUGAAAUGCCCCGGCUCACCCUGGGACCGGCAUCCCAUACUGCUUGGCUUGAGUACGGGAGAGGAUGUGGGAAUUCCUGGUGUAGCGGUGAAAUGCGUAGAUAUCAGGAGGAACACCGGUGGCGAAGGCGGGUCUCUGGGCAGUAACUGACGCUGAGGAGCGAAAGCGUGGGGAGCGAACAGG
rnacentral:rRNA from 1 species